GUAUGUGAUCCAUCUCUGGGGUGCCCAAAGUCGGUCCUUGAGGGCUGCUGCCCAGCAGAUUUUCCAGUGUUACCUGCUUCAACACACCUGACUCAAGUUAGAUAGAUCCAACAGCCUAUUAAGUUUUGCACAAUGACUCAUCAAUUUGAGUCAGGUGGUUUUGGAGCAGGGACACAUCAAAAACCU